GUACUAGGUAAAAGGGUGACGAACUAGAGAUGUAAUUUAUUAAGGAAACUCCUAAGGACCUUCAAGGGGCUACUAUCAAUUUAUAAUUGUAUUUAUGAAUCAAGACCAAAUUAUGAUUAUGUUCUGGAAUUGUCGGGAAACGGACAAUAAGGCUUUUGUUCUUGUUUGCAAUCAUUAUUUUUGGGAGAAUCAACCUGCGAUGCUCAU
rnacentral:lncRNA from 1 species